UACGAAGGGGGCUAGCGUUGUUCGGAAUCAUUGGGCGUAAAGGGCGUGUAGGCGGUUUGUUAAGUCAUGUGUGAAAUCCCUCGGCUCAACCGGGGAACGACGCAUGAAACUGGCAAGCUAGAGUACCAAAGAGGGGGGUGGAAUUCCCGGUGUAGCGGUGAAAUGCGUAGAUAUUCGGAAGAACACCAGUGGCGAAGGCGACUUACUGGACACAUAUUGACGCUGAGGUGCGAAAGCGUGGGGAGCAAACAGG
rnacentral:rRNA from 1 species